CCUACGGGUGGCAGCAGUGAGGAAUAUUGGUCAAUGGACGGAAGCCUGAACCAGCCAAGUCGCGUGCGGGAAUAAGGCCCUACGGGUCGUAAACCUCUUUUGCCGGGGAGCAAGGGCGGGGACGUGUCCCGGCCCGGAGAGUACCCGGAGAAAAAGCAUCGGCUAACUCCGUUCCAGCAGCCGCGGUAAUACGGAGGAUGCGAGCGGUAUCCGGAUUUAUUGGGUUUAAAGGGUGCGUAGGCGGGCUUUUUAGUCCGCGGUAAAAAUUCGGGGCUCAACCCCGUCCGGCCGUUGAAACUGGGGGCUUUGAGUGGGCGAGAAGAAGGCGGAAUGCGUGGGGUAGGGGGGAAAGGCAUAGAAACAACGCAGAAUCCCGAUGGGGAAGGCAGCCUUCCGGCGCCCUACGGACGCUGAGGCACGAAAGGGCGGGGAUCGAACAGGAUUAGAUACCCGUGUAGUC
rnacentral:rRNA from 1 species